ACUCAAAGGAAUUGACGGGGGCCCGCACAAGCGGAGGAACAUGUGGUUUAAUUCGAUGAUACGCGAGGAACCUUACCCGGGUUUGAAUUGCUGAUGUCGGUAUUUGGAGACAGAUACUUCCCUUCGGGGCGUCAGUGAAGGUGCUGCAUGGUUGUCGUCAGCUCGUGCCGUGAGGUGUCGGCUUAAGUGCCAUAACGAGCGCAACCCUUGCCGUUAGUUGCCAUCGGGUCAUGCCGGGCACUCUAUUGGGACUGCCAUCGUAAGAUGUGAGGAAGGUGGGGAUGACGUCAAAUCAGCACGGCCCUUAUGUCCGGGGCGACACACGUGUUACAAUGGGGGGGUACAGUGGGAAGCUACCUGGUGACAGGUUGCGGAUCCCCAAAUCCUUUCUCAGUUCGGAUCGGAGUCUGUAACUCGACUCCGUGAAGUUGGAUUCGCUAGUAAUCGCGCAUCAGCCAUGGCGCGGUGAAUACGUUCCCGGGCCUUGCACACACCGCCCGU
rnacentral:rRNA from 1 species